GAAUGCUGACAUAAGUAACGAUAAAGCGGGUGAAAAGCCCGCUCGCCGGAAGACCAAGGGUUCCUGUCCAACGUUAAUCGGGGCAGGGUGAGUCGACCCCUAAGGCGAGGCCGAAAGGCGUAGUCGAUGGGAAACGGGUUAAUAUUCCCGUACUUGGUGUUACUGCGAAGGGGGGACGGAGAAGGCUAUGUUGGCCGGGCGACGGUUGUCCCGGUUUAAGCGUGUAGGUGUGUGUUCCAGGUAAAUCCGGUUCACUUUAACACUGAGGCGUGACGACGAGGCACUACGGUGCUGAAGCAACAAAUGCCCUGCUUCCAGGAAAAGCCUCUAAGCAUCAGGUAACACGAAAUCGUACCCCAAACCGACACAGGUGGUCAGGUAGAGAAUACCAAGGCGCUUGAGAGAACUCGGGUGAAGGA
rnacentral:rRNA from 1 species